GCUGCGCCCGGCGUUCGCGCCGGGCGAGGAUCGCAAC
rnacentral:other from 1 species